AACGCAAGUUGCGCCCGAGGGAUCAUCCUGAGGGCACGCCUGCCUCAUGGGCGUAAGAAGCCCAUCCACGCUCAGGCGCAUUCUAGGUGUUCCUGAUGCGGACAUUGGCCCUCCGAGCCGCAAGGUUGCGACGGGCUCAAGUACAAUGGCUAUCGGCUGAGGUCGGGAGCGACGAGUGGUGGGCUACAAGCUAGCGUUCGUCGCCCCUCAACCUCACGUGAUGUAUGCCUUUAUUGACCCUUAACGAGCAUCACGUCGUGGCAGCGUUAUGUUGUGCGGCAUGUUCGGACUGAUACCCCAGGUCAGGCGUGGCCACCCGCUGAGUUUAA
rnacentral:misc_RNA from 1 species